rfam:Rhodoferax antarcticus ANT.BR grfa_new.contig.16_1, whole genome shotgun sequence.
GCCUCAUGCCUGAAAGGGCGACAGUGCAAACUGGAGCGAGAAGUCAGCAGAGGCCGUAGUAGUCGUAGGCGAAACCCACAACGGGAGAAGACCGAAGGCGAAGGGC